ACCGCUGCCCGCUACGCCACCUGGAUGUAUCUACCCACUCACAUUCACUUACUGCAGGGUGGGAGAUGCAACAAUGGCCUUGAGAACAGCAGGAAGUGUGUUGGGGGUCUUUGUCUGGUCUGUAGCAGAAAUGAUGCUGAGGAGAAUCCUGUGACUCUGAGUGAUGAACCAGACUACACAGGUCAUGUGACGUACUGUAGCAACAAGAAGAAUGGCCACACCCUGACAAUCAGAGAUCUGAGAGAGUGUGACUCAGCUAUGUGCAAUGUCCAUCCUGACCCUAACUGGGACACACACCACUGAAAAUGAGGACCAGACACUCUGGCAGUAGACUGCAGGGUGAGAGAUGUAACAAUGGCCUUGAGAACAGCAGGAAGUGUGUUGGUGGUCUUUCUCUGGUCUGUGACAGUGGUACUGGGUCAGGAUGGCUGGAGUGUUACAUACACCACUCAGAGUAUCUGUACCUUGAGGGGGUCAACAGUGGAUCUGUUCUGCUCUUACACAUAUCCCAGUGGUCAUAAAGUCACAACAACCUUCUGGUUCACCAAAAGUAUGAUGUGGAGAAUUAUGUGAGUCUGUUAGAUGACCCAGACUACAAAGGUCGUGUGACGUACCGUAGCAAUAAGAAGAAUGGCCACACCCUGAAAAUCACAGACCUGAGAGAGAGUGACUCAGCUACGUACAAGUUCAGAUUUAUAACAAAACGAACUGAAGGGAGAUAUUCUGGAUAUCCUGGAGUCACUCUGUCUGUUACAGACCUGCAGGUGAAGGUGACCACUACAU